rnacentral:rRNA from 1 species
AACGAACGCUGGCGGCGUGCCUAAUACAUGCAAGUCGAUCGAGUAGCAAUACUAGAGGCGCACGGGAGAGGAACGCGUAGGUAACCUGCCCACGAGUGGGGAAUAACCAGUCGAAAGAUUGGCUAAUACCGCAUAAGACCACAGGAUCUGCGGAUCUAGGGGUCAAAGGAGCAAUUCGCUUGUGGAUGAGCCUGCGUCCGAUUAGCUAGUUGGUAAGGUAACGGCUUACCAAGGCGAGGAUCGGUAGCUGGUCUGAGAGGAUGAUCAGCCUCACUGGAACUGAGACACGGUCCAGACUCCUACGGGAGGCAGCAGUAGGGAAUAUUGCUCAAUGGGGGAAACCCUGAAGCAGCAACGCCGCGUGAGUGAUGAAGGCCUUCGGGUCGUAAAGCUCUGUCGCAGGGGAAAAUCUAAGAUGGUACCCUGUAAGAAAGGACCGGCCAACUUCGUGCCAGCCGCCGCUGUAA